UACGUAGGGUGCGAGCGUUAAUCGGAAUUACUGGGCGUAAAGCGUGCGCAGGCGGUUCGUUAUGUCCGAUGUGAAAGCCCCGAGCUCAACUUGGGAAUGGCAUUGGAAACUGGCGGGCUGGAGUGUGGCAGAGGGGGGUGGAAUUCCACGGUGUAGCAGUGAAAUGCGUAGAGAAUGUGGAGGAACACCGAUGGCGGAAGGACAGCCCCCUGGGCCAACCACUGACGCCUCAGGCACGAAAGCGUGGGGAGCAAACAG
rnacentral:rRNA from 1 species